GGUUCGAUGCCACGUCACCGGUAGCCAAAAGUGCAGUGACCGUUGAUGCUAUGAUUGAACCGAUAAUAAACUUUCGUGUGUUUCGCAUUUUAUAGGAACCUGUGAAUCGAUAAUAAUCCGUUCGUUCACGGAGCCGUUUUUUGCGAUUACAUUU
rfam:Helianthus annuus linkage group 4, whole genome shotgun sequence.